UUUUUCGCGGUUGUAGUUGGUCUGAGCCUCUGUCUCAGUGUUCUCUUAGCUUUGUUUCAGUUUACUCUGAACUUAUCUCAUAUUUGUCAUUUUUCUCUCUAAGUAUCGUUCCUCAUCACAUAUCCUCUACCAUCUACCUCUGCUAUUCAACUCUUUGGAUGUUUCCUUCAAGGAUGUUAUCUGGCAGCACUCCUUGGUGGUGGUGGCAACUUUGCGGCGAUGGUGCAGCUAAUAUGGUGGAGGCAGCUGUUUUCUUUUAUCAGUUCUCCGGUUUUUUGGCUUUUGUAUUGCUAUGGACUGCCUCUUUUGGGCCCACUUUAUUGUAAUUUCUUUAUGUAGACUUGGGCUUUGUUUGACUGUUUUGGAUUCUCUUUUUGGAUGGUUUUUACCUUUUUAUA